rnacentral:lncRNA from 1 species
CCUAUAUCAAGUGGCAUGCCUCAGUAGUAUGCUCUGCCCACAGUGAGCGAUGUCAAGGACAGGAAGGGAAGGAGGAAGUGUUAAUAAAUAGAACGAUCUGCCACGAUCUUGGGACUAAGAAAUUUUUUCAUUAGACAAAGUUGGAGAUCUGCAUUGAUGAUAAAGGGUUAAGGAGGUUAUAUUUUUGGUAGUGGACAGUCCUUUAAAGGUUUUAUUUUGACUUGUUUAUUCAUGAGAGACACACAGAGAGAGGCAGAGACAUAGGCAGAGGGAGAAGCAGGCUCCCUGCCGGGAGCCUGAUGUGGGAUUUGAACCCAGGACGCCGGGAUCACAACCUGAGCCAGAGGCAGAUGCUUAAUCCCUGAGCCAUCGAGGCGUCCCUGGGCAGUCCUUUAUAUAAUAACCAUAUUUUCUCUUGGUGGCCCUCUGAAAGAAUAAGAGCACAAAGAAAUAGGACUUAGAGCCACUGGUUUUGAUGGAGAGACGGUAUCAGCGUGUAGGUGGUUUUCAGAGCAUGUAGGAAACCACGCUGGGAGGAACCUAGACCUUUAGAGUUUUGAUUGAGAUACUGGGUGGCAGGGAGUACAGGUAGAAAGAGGUGGAGCAGUCCAACAAUUGACAUGAUCUUGUAUAUACUUUUGCCUUAGGCUUGGCUUCAUUCCAGACAAAGGGACUUGAUACAAGUUUUCAGGACGUGACAUGUAUUGCCCCCGACCAAACCUAGGAAAGAUAAAUGAUCUCCGUGGUCUUGGAUUCUCUUUGCAUAGGCCUUCCUUCCUCCUUCCCUCUUGUCUUCCCUUUUUUCUUUUGUUCUUUCCGUCUUUUUUUAAAAAAUAUUUAUUUAUUUAUUAUUUAUGACAGAAAUAGAGAGAGAGAGAGGCAGAGACACAGGAGGAGGGAGAAGCAGGCUCCAUGCCAGGAGCCUGACGUGGGACUCAAUCCUGGGACUCCAGGAUCGCGCCCUGGGCCAAAGGCAGGCGCUAAACCACUGAGCCACCCAGGGAUCCUCUGUUCUUUCCGUCUUUAAGUUGGCAUCUUUAAAUUAGGAGAGACUUUGUGAGCUCUUCUCCUAUAUGUCCAUGUUGUUGGGCAGAUACGUGGGCUCGACGGCCAAGAGGGAUGAGGGUGUGUGGAGAAGGCGUAUGCUCCUUGCUUGGCUAACCCACUCUAAUGCAUAGUGUCCAGUUAUAGCACACAUUUAAACUUGAACCCUGUUUCUUCAGUAAAGAUCCAUUUCCCAUUUUUUGGAACGAAAUUGAGUCUUUUUGUUUUGCCUAAUAACUUUUACAUUGAUUACUGUUACUUGCUUCCAUGACAGAAGCUAUUCAUGCAUUAUUUGUUGCACAGACACUGAGGGCUGUGUAUGAGCCAGGCUCUGUGCUAAGUGAAAGGUAUAAAAGAGGUUAAUACUUAGAGCUGGCCCUGCCCAGAUAAAACAGAGGACCCGGUAGGAAACUGGGAACAAGGAUAUGAUAAACAAAUAUAUAAUUGCAAAGCAAAUGUGGCACAAAUGUUUACAUCGGUUAAAUCUGGGUGUUGGGAUAUGGGCUGCUAUUGUAUUAGCUUCUGAACUGUAUGAGCUUCUGAAUAUAUAUUUGAAAUAAAUCCUAA